GCUGGUUUGGCUCAGUGGAUAGAGCGUCAGUCUAUGGACUGAAGGGUCCCGGGUUCGAUUCCCAGUCAGGG
rfam:Myotis brandtii contig320583, whole genome shotgun sequence.